CAGUAGCCACGGUAAUACGAAGGGUGCAAGCGUUAAUCGGAAUUACUGGGCGUAAAGCGUGCGUAGGCGGUUUGUUAAGUCUGUUGUGAAAUCCCCGGGCUCAACCUGGGAAUGGCAAUGGAUACUGGCAAGCUAGAGUGUGUCAGAGGAUGGUGGAAUUCCCGGUGUAGCGGUGAAAUGCGUAGAGAUCGGGAGGAACAUCAGUGGCGAAGGCGGCCAUCUGGGACAACACUGACGCUGAGGCACGAAAGCGUGGGGAGCAAACAGGAUUAGAUACCCGCGUAGUCCCUGUCUCUUAUAC
rnacentral:rRNA from 1 species